UUAAAUAAACAUUUUGUUAACAAUUUAGCGCACUUUUCAACUGUUUGAUUGAUUUUUUUCAACUGUUGAGAUUCUAUGCCAACUUUUUAACGCUGUACUUGGUGACGUACCAACUGAAAAUCUCCUAUAUAAAUACGAAAAAAUAUCAAUAAAGUAGUUUUAUUAGAAGUAUACAUUGGAUGAUAUCAAAGCAGCUACAUAGAUAUUCUCAAUCGGGUUUCUUAUCAUUUCAAUGGUCCAAUAUUUCAAGAACCACUAUCAAUUCAAGAUUAAAUUAAUACAUAGGGGGGGAUGCAGUACUUAUAGAACGCAGUUCUUCAAUUGAUCAGUCUCUCUUUAAUCGAGUAGGACAUUAUUUCAAUUGCCCGAUCAAUCUAUAAAAUGCUCUUGUUCUGUAUAUUGAUCAUAACAUAAAUACAUAUAUAAAUUUACACCCCCAUUGACCAGAAGAGCUAUGAAGUGUACUAUCGGAAAAUGGCUUAUCGUUAUUUGGAUAUUUUUUUUCUUGCAAACGAUCGGAAAAGCAGAUAGGAAUAAUAACGAAAUAGAGGAAUGUAAUUUGUCGAAUGAUUUAAAAGACGAGAUCAAAACAUAUGAACCGAUGGUACAUAAUAUUAUUAACGAAGCUUUGAACGGAACUUUCAAAGGACGAACGUGGCAAGAGCUGGCAGAUUUUGUGGAUAAUUUUGGACCAAGGUUUACCGGUACGCAGGUUUUGGAAGAUUCGAUCGAUUAUGUUCUAAAUAAGUCGCAAUCUUAUAAAUUGGAAAAUGUUCACGGAGAGAUUGUUAAAGUACCUCAUUGGGUGAGAGGCUUUGAAUCCGCGACGCUUAUCCAACCAAGAAGGAAAAACAUCGCAAUCCUAGGACUAGGAUACAGCGUUGGUACUCCGAAAGAAGGGAUAACGGCUAGUGCCAUAAUCGUGGACAGUUUUGCAGAACUCGAGAGUAGAGCGAAUGAGGUACCUGGCAAGAUUGUCGUAUUCAACGAAAAAUAUGUUACAUAUGGCGAAACUGUUAAAUAUCGUUCCUCCGGAGCGUCGAAAGCUGCUCAAUUUGGCGCAGUUGCAGUUCUCAUCAGAUCGGUAACACCGUUUUCGCUGUAUACACCACAUACAGGCAUGAUGGGUUAUGCCGAAAACGUCACCAAAAUACCAGCGGCUUGUAUUACAGCCGAAGAUUCUACCCUUUUGAGAAGGAUAGCUAAUAGGGGUAAAAAUAUAGUAAUACGUUUAAAAAUGGAUGCACGCAGUUUGCCAGAUAAAGAAUCUAGAAAUGUCAUCGCUGAGAUAAGCGGUAGAGACAAACCGAAAGGUGUUGUGGUAGUAUCAGGACAUAUAGACAGUUGGGAUGUAGGUGAAGGCGCAAUGGACGACGGAGGUGGUGCUUUUAUUUCUUGGAAUGCCUUGCAAUUGUUGAAACAACUUAAUUAUCGACCUCGUAGAACUAUCAGGAUGAUUAUGUGGACUGCUGAAGAAAUGGGAUUAAUCGGAGCAGGCCAAUACGUGAAACAGCACAAAUCUGAAGAGAAAAACUUGCAGUUCGUUAUGGAAUCGGAUAUCGGAACAUUUACUCCUUUGGGUAUUGAAUAUACUGGUAUACCCUACGUGGGAUGUGUUUUGCAAGAAAUUUUGAAACUAAUGUCCCCCUUGGGAGAGAUGAAAGUGCGCACACCCAAUGGUGGACCUGAUAUUUCUUAUUGGAUUGAAGCUGGCGUGCCUGGUGGAUCUCUUUGGAAUAAAAAUGAUCGGUAUUUUUAUUACCAUCAUACAAACGCAGAUACUAUGCUAGUGGAAGAUCCAGAAACUCUCGACAUGGGCACGGCUUUGUUUGCUGCAGUAUCUUACGUCUUAGCUGAUAUAAGUGUCGAUCUACCUCGGCACAAAUGACUUGGAUUCAUUUCAAAAUGAAAAAUAGGCAAAUAGAAAUAAAUUAUUUACCUAGGGAUAUUGAUACCAGAUGUAGACGAAUAUAACAAAUGCUUGGACAAGACGACUUUCGAUUAGGCUAUGAUAUCGCUCGUUUCUUAAAUUGGUCUUUCCGGUCAACGGACAAUAAAUGAUACGUACGAUCCUUUUUGUAAUCUUUGUAAUCUUUAUAUUGUAAUGAAGAAAUAUAUAAUGCGUUAUCAA
rnacentral:misc_RNA from 1 species